GCUUGUUGGGGUUGUAGGACACUCUAUACGGAGUUACAAAGGACGACAUUAGACGAAUCAUCUGGAAAGAUGAAUCAAAGAAGGUAAUAAUCCUGUAGUCGAAAAUGUUGUCUCUCUUGAGUGGAUCCUGAGUACGACGGAGCACGUGAAAUUCCGUCGGAAUCUGGGAGGACCAUCUCCUAAGGCUAAAUACUCUCUAGUGACCGAUAGUGAAC
rnacentral:rRNA from 1 species